rnacentral:rRNA from 1 species
UACGUAGGUGGCAAGCGUUGUCCGGUUUUAUUGGGUUUAAAGGGUGCGUAGGCGGUCCUAUAAGUCAGUGCUGAAAUAUCCCGGCUUAACCGGGAGGGUGGCAUUGAUACUGUAGGACUUGAGUAGAGUUGAGGUUGGCGGAAUUGACGGUGUAGCGGUGAAAUGCUUAGAUAUCGUCAAGAACACCGAUAGUGUAGACAGCUAACUAAGCUCUAACUGACGCUGAGGCACGAAAGUGUGGGGAUCAAACAGG